rnacentral:lncRNA from 1 species
CAGAGCUCAAACAAACAACAAAUAAACAAACAACAAUAAUUAGGCAAUAAAGGCAAGAGAAAAAACCUAGGGUAGUAACUUGAGAGACAAGUAGAGUCAGUAGAUUCACAAGAUGUCUUUCCCCUUCCUCCCUCCUUUCCCUCUUUCCUUCUUUUUCUCUCUCUCCUUCUGUCUCCUCUUUUCAGAAUGGGAAAAAUCUCAGUUGUGACUGUAAAUGAGAUCUUGGAAGCACAGGGUGUGCUGGUCCCCUCUGCCACUACCUCCCUGGUGAUCUCGAUACUUGCUAUGGUUUAUGCCCCAUGAGGUUCCACCCUCAUGAAUGAGAUUAGUGCCCAGUGAGCUCCUCAACCUUUCUGCCAUGUGAGGUCACAAGGAGAAGGCGCCAUGUAGGAAGUGGGGCAGACUCCAAAUCUGCCAUGCCUUCAUUUUGGACUUCCCAGCCUCCAGAACUGUGAGAAAUAAAUGUUUGCUGUUUAUACUCUGCCCAGGCUAGGGAAUUUGGUUAUAGCAACCUAAAUGGGCUAAGACAAUGAUCCAGUGGGGAAAUUAGGUGAAUGAUGGUCUGUUCAGGUGACAGUUUUUUUUUUUUUUUCUAUAGCUGUUGGCCUCAGAUCACUAAGACAGAGAUUGAACGAUGUCUGGGAGAUUCAAAGGAUGUCCCAGCUAUCAGGGCUUCAUUCUCUUAUUUCUUAGGCAUCAACACCAAAGGGUCUCAAUGAAGACGAUGGGCACAGCCACCUGUGAGUGUUUGGGCAACAGUGACCCACAGGAGCAGAGGGCAAAAGGAGCCUGGCCCAAUCCAUGGGACAGGCAGUUUUGUGGUCCUCACAGGCCCUCUGGGGCCAUGUCCCCAGCUGCCUCCCCUCUCAGGAGCAAAGAGCUACCUUGACCCCCUGGACCUGCAGUAUUUCAGAGUGUGCAAGCCAAGGAAUUAGGGAAGUCAAGUGUUGGGGGGAUCAGCGUCUUUAAACUCAUGUUCUUAAAGUGACUAAAAAGCAUAGGACACACAUGGGCUGCCACAUCAUGACUCUUUCAGCUUUCCUUGUUGCCAAACUUCCCACAGGGUUCUGGGGAGCCUCACUGAGCCUGUAGAGUUUCCCAGAGAGCUUGUUAUUAAUAGGCCAUUUGUUCAUCUUGCAUCUUGUUUAACUCAAUCUCAAUGAUCUGUCUCAAGCAACGGUUUUAAAAAUACAGGACCUCCUCGCCUGAGAUUCCCAUAUCCUAAAAUGUCUCUGCCUUCAGUCGUCAGCCUCCUGCCUCCCACCCUGACUGGCAGAGCUGCCCCAGGCUGCUGUUAAUGAUGUGCUUCUCUUUGCCAGGUGGAGAUCCCAAGGCUCUCCUGUCCCAGAAUGGACCUGGAGAGGAAUUGAGGGGUUUAAGCUGCCCUAAUCGGACCUGCCCCUUGGACCGAUCUGUCCUUUAUGUCCCCUCAAGAAUGGGUUCCUGAUGGAGGCUGGAAUGUAUUCUGCAUGGGAGGCUGGGGGAAGCACAGCUGGCAGGCAGCAGCAUCAGGCAGACAUCUGCCCACGGCAAGUCAAAUCAGGUAGUGAUCAAGUCUCAAGGAAGAGAGAAUACAUAUGGCUUCAAAUGCAGGAUCACACUGGAUUUUACAGCUGACUGGAACUGUCUGUCUUCAGACGCAGCCUCCGUAUGACUACAUUUCAUAACAGAAGAUCCUUCUUUUUGAUUUUCUCUUGUGUGAUCAUCUGGAAGCACAUGCACCAGAGAGUUGGAACAGCGCCAUUAAAAAUAUUUAUGUUGGUGUGGA